rnacentral:rRNA from 1 species
AUGUGCGGGAAUCUGUCUUCAACCUCUUCAAACUUCUGGUGGGGUGAAACAGAUGGUAAGAAGAAAGUGCAUUGGAUCAGAUGGGAUAAUAUGUGUAUGAGAAAACAUGAUGGAGGCCUUGGUUUUUGAGACCUAGAAGCUUUCAAUCAAGCUAUGCUUGCUAAAAAGGCUUGGCGACUACUACAGGUGCCGGAAUCGUUGUGUGGAAGGGUUUUAAAGGCGAGGUAUUUCCCUGACGGAUCGAUCUUAAAUGCCACUGCCCAGAGGGGGGGGUCAUACACGUUCCGGAGCAUUUUACACGGUCGUGACCUGCUCAAUGAUGGAUUGAUUUGGCGGAUUGGAGAUGGAUCUCAUAUAAAGAUCCACCUUGACAAUUGGUUGCCGAGGAAUGGAAGUCUAAAGCCACUGGGCCUAACGUUACAUAGCGGGGUAUACACACAUGGGGGAUCUACUUGA